GAUGAACGCUGGCGGCGUGCCUAAUACAUGCAAGUCGAGCGAACGGACGAGAAGCUUGCUUCUCUGAUGUUAGCGGCGGACGGGUGAGUAACACGUGGAUAACCUACCUAUAAGACUGGGAUAACUUCGGGAAACCGGAGCUAAUACCGGAUAAUAUUUUGAACCGCAUGGUUCAAAAGUGAAAGACGGUCUUGCUGUCACUUAUAGAUGGAUCCGCGCUGCAUUAGCUAGUUGGUAAGGUAACGGCUUACCAAGGCAACGAUGCAUAGCCGACCUGAGAGGGUGAUCGGCCACACUGGAACUGAGACACGGUCCAGACUCCUACGGGAGGCAGCAGUAGGGAAUCUUCCGCAAUGGGCGAAAGCCUGACGGAGCAACGCCGCGUGAGUGAUGAAGGUCUUCGGAUCGUAAAACUCUGUUAUUAGGGAAGGACAUAUGUGUAAGUAACUGUGCACAUCUUGACGGUACCUAAUCAGAAAGCCACGGCUAACUACGUGCCAGCAGCCGCGGUAAUACGUAGGUGACAAGCGUUAUCCGGAAUUAUUGGGCGUAAAGCGCGCGUAGGCGGUUUUUUAAGUCUGAUGUGAAAGCCCACGGCUCAACCGUGGAGGGUCAUUGGAAACUGGAAAACUUGAGUGCAGAAGAGGAAAGUGGAAUUCCAUGUGUAGCGGUGAAAUGCGCAGAGAUAUGGAGGAACACCAGUGGCGAAGGCGACUUUCUGGUCUGUAACUGACGCUGAUGUGCGAAAGCGUGGGGAUCAAACAGGAUUAGAUACCCUGGUAGUCCACGCCGUAAACGAUGAGUGCUAAGUGUUAGGGGGUUUCCGCCCCUUAGUGCUGCAGCUAACGCAUUAAGCACUCCGCCUGGGGAGUACGACCGCAAGGUUGAAACUCAAAGGAAUUGACGGGGACCCGCACAAGCGGUGGAGCAUGUGGUUUAAUUCGAAGCAACGCGAAGAACCUUACCAAAUCUUGACAUCCUUUGACAACUCUAGAGAUAGAGCCUUCCCCUUCGGGGGACAAAGUGACAGGUGGUGCAUGGUUGUCGUCAGCUCGUGUCGUGAGAUGUUGGGUUAAGUCCCGCAACGAGCGCAACCCUUAAGCUUAGUUGCCAUCAUUAAGUUGGGCACUCUAAGUUGACUGCCGGUGACAAACCGGAGGAAGGUGGGGAUGACGUCAAAUCAUCAUGCCCCUUAUGAUUUGGGCUACACACGUGCUACAAUGGACAAUACAAAGGGCAGCGAAACCGCGAGGUCAAGCAAAUCCCAUAAAGUUGUUCUCAGUUCGGAUUGUAGUCUGCAACUCGACUACAUGAAGCUGGAAUCGCUAGUAAUCGUAGAUCAGCAUGCUACGGUGAAUACGUUCCCGGGUCU
rnacentral:rRNA from 1 species